rnacentral:tRNA from 1 species
AGGGCAAUAGCUCAGUGGUAGGGCAUGUGCUUAGCAUGCACAAGGUCCUGGGUUCAAUUCCUAGUAUCUCCA